rnacentral:pre_miRNA from 1 species
CGACUACUCCCUCUGUCCCAAAUUUCUUGUCUUAGAUUUGUCUAGAUACGAAUGUAUCUAAUACUAAAAUGUGACUUGAUACAUCCGUAUCUAGACAAAUCUAAGACAAGAAUUUUGGGACGGAGGGACUACUUU